UGCCAGCCGCCGCGGUAAUACGGAGGGGGCUAGCGUUAUUCGGAAUUACUGGGCGUAAAGCGCACGUAGGCGGACUAUUAAGUCAGGGGUGAAAUCCCGGGGCUCAACCCCGGAACUGCCUCUGAUACUGGUAGUCUUGAGUUCGAGAGAGGUGAGUGGAAUUCCGGGUGUAGAGGUGAAAUUCAUAGAUAUUCGGAGGAACACCAGUGGCGAAGGCGGCUCACUGGCUCGAUACUGACGCUGAGGCGCGAAGGCGUGGGUAGCUAACGGGAUUAGAUA
rnacentral:rRNA from 1 species